rnacentral:tRNA from 1 species
AGCAGUGUGGCCUAGAGAUUAGAGCAUGGGGCCUGGGAGUCAGAAGGACCUGGGUUCUAAUCCCAGCUCUGCCA